rnacentral:rRNA from 1 species
AGAGAGAGACAUGCGCGCAUAUCAAUAAGCGGAGGAAAAGAAACUAACAAGGAUUCCCUUAGUAACGGCGAGUGAAGCGGGAAGAGCUCAAAUUUGAAAUCUUCAAGGUUUUACCUUGACGAAUUGUAGUUUAAAGAAGUGUUUUCUGCUGAAGUUUUGGUAAAAGUUCUUUGGAAUAGGACAUCAUAGAGGGUGAGAAUCCCGUAUUUGACCAUUAUUUUCAGCUUUGUGAUACACUUUCAAAGAGUCGGAUUGUUUGGGAAUGCAGUCCAAAAUGGGUGGUAAGUUUCAUCUAAAGCUAAAUAUUGGCGAGAGACCGAUAGCGAACAAGUACCGUGAGGGAAAGAUGAAAAGAACUUUGAAAAGAGAGUUAAACAGUACGUGAAAUUGUCAAAAGGGAAGCGUUUGACACCAGUGUUGUUUUCUCGAAAAUCAAUUAAAAAUGGCUCGAUUUUGUAUUGCUUGAGACCUUAAAAGCUCACUGUACAUUUUUCGUGUCUUUUUUAAUGCACUUUUCGUUUAACAAGUCAACAUCAGUUUCUUUUGUUGUAAAAGGGUCAUUGGAAGGUGGCUUUCUUUUCGGAGAAAGUGUUUAUAGCCUUUGGCCUCUGCAAUCGGAGAGACUGAGGUCUGCAGCGUAGACUCUUCGGGGUUAGAUACAUUUGUGCUAAGUUAUAGCCUUUCAUAGACAACUUGUUGACUAUGAUCAGUCAUGUAGCUUACUCGCUUAUGCUAUUUUACCUACGCUUAGGAUGUUGAAGUCAUCGUAUCGCGC